ACCUGGUAUAAGCCAGGUAUCGUAUGAUGAAUACAUAGUCAUACGAGGCGAACGGAGGGAAGUGAAACAUCUCAGUACCUCUAGGAAAAGAAAUCAAUUGAGAUUCCCUCAGUAGCGGCGAGCGAACGGGGAACAGCCCAUUAAGUCAUAUCAGUUUUAGUGGAAUGCUCUGGGAAGUGCAACCAUAGUGGGUGAUAGUCCUGUACACGAAAGGGCU
rnacentral:misc_RNA from 1 species